UUUUGGUCCUAAACUUGCUCUUGUUUUUUAUCAAAAUUAUACAUGCAAGCCUCCACACACCAGUGAGAAUGCCCACUACUUUCCCAGACAGCCAAUCGGAGCAGGUAUCAGGAUACAACAGCCCUUAGCCAAAGACACCUUGCAAACGCCACACCCACACGGGACUUCAGCAGUAAUUAACAUUAAAACAUGAGCGAAAGCUCGACUUAGUUAUGAUAAACAUGGCCGGUAAAUUUCGUGCCAGCCACCGCGGUUAUACGAAAGGCCAAAAACAACAGCUAACGGCGUAAAGCGUGACUAGAGAUAUUUACCCAUUAAAGGAGAACAACAGCCAAGUUGUAAAACACUACUGCACAUUAGAAUCACAACACAAAUGCCUUUAAACCACUUUACCUCACGAAAGCUGAGAAACAAACUGGGAUUAGAUACCCCACUAUGCUCAGCCAUUAACAUAGAUAGUACAAACACAAUACUAUCCGCCAGAGAACUACAAGCGAAAAGCUAAAAACUCUAAGGACUUGGCGGUGCUUCAAACCAACCUAGAGGAGCCUGUCCUAUAAUCGAUACCCCACGUUUCACCUUACCCCUCCUAGCCAACCAGCCUAUAUACCGCCGUCGCCAGCCUACCCUGUGAAAGAAGCAAAGUGGGCAAAACAGUUUCUAACUAACACGUCAGGUCAAGGUGUAGCACACGGAGCGGAAGAGAUGGGCUACAUUCUUUCAAAGAAAAAACACGAACAGUGUGUUGAAAAACACACUUGAAGGUGGAUUUAGCAGUAAUAUAGACAAGAUAGACCAUAUUAAACCUGCUCUGAAGCGCGCACACACCGCCCGUCACCCUCAUUACAUGUAACACAACAUAAAAU
rnacentral:ncRNA from 1 species